UGUAUUUGUGUGUGUGCAUGUGCAUGUUUCAUGCACCCAUGUGAGUGUAGGCACAUGCAUCUUCAUGCAUGGACAGAAAGUACUAGCAAA
rnacentral:miRNA from 1 species